rnacentral:rRNA from 1 species
GACGAACGCUGGCGGCGUGCUUAACACAUGCAAGUCGAACGGAAAGGCCCUGCUUUUGUGGGGUGCUCGAGUGGCGAACGGGUGAGUAACACGUGAGUAACCUGCCCUUGACUUUGGGAUAACUUCAGGAAACUGGGGCUAAUACCGGAUAGGAGCUCCUGCUGCAUGGUGGGGGUUGGAAAGUUUCGGCGGUUGGGGAUGGACUCGCGGCUUAUCAGCUUGUUGGUGGGGUAGUGGCUUACCAAGGCUUUGACGGGUAGCCGGCCUGAGAGGGUGACCGGCCACAUUGGGACUGAGAUACGGCCCAGACUCCUACGGGAGGCAGCAGUGGGGAAUAUUGCACAAUGGGCGGAAGCCUGAUGCAGCAACGCCGCGUGCGGGAUGACGGCCUUCGGGUUGUAAACCGCUUUCGCCUGUGACGAAGCGUGAGUGACGGUAAUGGGUAAAGAAGCACCGGCUAACUACGUGCCAGCAGCCGCGGUGAUACGUAGGGUGCGAGCGUUGUCCGGAUUUAUUGGGCGUAAAGGGCUCGUAGGUGGUUGAUCGCGUCGGAAGUGUAAUCUUGGGGCUUAACCCUGAGCGUGCUUUCGAUACGGGUUGACUUGAGGAAGGUAGGGGAGAAUGGAAUUCCUGGUGGAGCGGUGGAAUGCGCAGAUAUCAGGAGGAACACCAGUGGCGAAGGCGGUUCUCUGGGCCUUUCCUGACGCUGAGGAGCGAAAGCGUGGGGAGCGAACAGGCUUAGAUACCCUGGUAGUCCACGCUGUAAACGGUGGGUACUAGGUGUGGGGUCCAUUCCACGGGUUCCGUGCCGUAGCUAACGCUUUAAGUACCCCGCCUGGGGAGUACGGCCGCAAGGCUAAAACUCAAAGGAAUUGACGGGGCCCCGCACAAGCGGCGGAGCAUGCGGAUUAAUUCGAUGCAACGCGUAGAACCUUACCUGGGUUUGACAUGGAUCGGGAGCGCUCAGAGAUGGGUGUGCCUCUUUUGGGGUCGGUUCACAGGUGGUGCAUGGCUGUCGUCAGCUCGUGUCGUGAGAUGUUGGGUUAAGUCCCGCAACGAGCGCAACCCUUGUUCACUGUUGCCAGCACGUUAUGGUGGGGACUCAGUGGAGACCGCCGGGGUCAACUCGGAGGAAGGUGGGGAUGACGUCAAGUCAUCAUGCCCCUUAUGUCCAGGGCUUCACGCAUGCUACAAUGGCUGGUACAGAGAGUGGCGAGCCUGUGAGGGUGAGCGAAUCUCGGAAAGCCGGUCUCAGUUCGGAUUGGGGUCUGCAACUCGACCUCAUGAAGUCGGAGUCGCUAGUAAUCGCAGAUCAGCAACGCUGCGGUGAAUACGUUCCUGGGGCU